UACGUAGGGAGCAAGCGUUGUCCGGAAUCAUUGGGCGUAAAGCGCGCGUAGGUGGCUUCGUAAGUCCGUUGUGAAAGUCAAAGGCUCAACCUUUGAAAGCCGAUGGAUACUGUGAAGCUAGAGUACGGAAGAGGAGAGUGGAAUUCCUGGUGUAGCGGUGAAAUGCGCAGAUAUCAGGAAGAACACCCGUGGCGAAGGCGGCUCUCUGGGACGGUACUGACGCUGAGACGCGAAAGCGUGGGGAGCAAACAGG
rnacentral:rRNA from 1 species